CCACCCCCGCGCCACAGGGUCGCGGCCGGCGCCGCACUGCCCGUCCCCCUGAGCGCCCCGGCCGGGCUGUGCUGCGGAGCGGAGUCUCCCGCCUGCCCUUUGCGGUGCUCCCUCCCCGGCAGGUCCCGCACGGCGCGGCCCCGCAGCGCCGAGGCCCCUAAAGCGUCUUGCCCGGAGGCUGUCGGGGGUCGCCUGGGCGGCGAGUGAGAGGAGCCUGGGCCGAGUCACUUGGGCUCGUUCCGCCUGGGGUCGUGUUUUGAGGAGCCAGAGAGAGCAUCAGUGGGAUUUCUUUAGUCUUCAGUAAAGAUCUUCAGUCAGUUACCUACCAUGGGAGUCGGGAUAUAAGCAGCCCCCAGAGUCUGUAAAGGCUGGCAUGAGACCGAGCACCGUCUAGGAAGCUGUGUCAGGAGCAGUCACCUCUUGACACUGCUGCUAAUAGGUGGUUAUUACAGCCCAUUUUGCUGAGAGCUGAGGUCUAUUUUUGCCACCAGUAUGUUUUGCCAGUUUCGUAUCCACAAGUCUAACCUUCUGUUUUGGAAGAACUUUGUAGUCUGUCAUUCAUAAAGAAAUGAAGUAACUGUUGGGCCAUCAGACUGGAUGUCAGUAUCAGCCACUGGGAGAUGGAAUAAUGCUCUUUACUGUUGGAAGGAAGACUCUUUGAAAUCUUUCUUAAGGAGGUAGUCACCUCCAUGCAGAAAGAAAAACUCUCUAGGUACAAGAAGAUGUUAAGCAAGGAAGAGUCAAAGUUAAAACUUGGCAAGAGCUAAAACAAAGAUUUUUUCCAAGGAAAUGGAGGAGACAGGUCAAAUUAAUUCCUUAUAUCACAGUAUUAGAGGUGUACUGGGAGCAUGAUGAGCAAAAGACUCCUUGAAUGCUGCUGCAAAGCUGGUUAAACAUCCUACCUUGGUUUGAGUCCAGUUUUGAACAGAGGUUGAGAGGAGUCAUCUUGUGUAUCACAUUUUCUUACCAUGGCUGGAAUAUCUGCUAGGAGGCAGAAGAGCCCUCCCAGGCAGAUCACCUUGAUGAAUUUAACAAGCACAUGUGAAUAACAAAGACUGACCAGAAAUAUUUUCACUUACAAAAGCAUUCUUUUAUACUAACUGUAGGAACAGUAGCCACAUACACAAUGGAAUCAAACCUUUGGACAGUGCUGUUUCAAUAGGAGCCUUCAGAAAAAAAAACUUCCUAUGUGAUGAAAGAGAAACUGCUCAAAAAUCCAUUCAGGUAUACCCUACACUUCCUUAUGGACACCUAAUGAAAAUAUAUUAGAAUUAACUGUAAAUUGAGCAAGUAGCAAAAAAAGCUUGAUGAACUGACUGUAACAAAAUAUCCAGUGAAGAAAAGCUCUGCAGACUUCUGCUUGCCAGCACUGGCAAGUAUGUAGUUUAGCUAAAUAGAAAGAAAGCAGAAGAUACAGCUAUCAACUGCAAACGAAUGAUUAUAAACCAGAAAGAAAAUGUGAGGAAGAGCUCUGAAAAUUAUGAUUGACAGUGACAACACAGACCAGACAGCUUUUAUUUUAAGCAACAGAUUGUUGGGAACAUACACCAUAUAUCAAAGUGAAGGACUUGAAACCUGCUGUAGUCUGUACAGAUGUUCUCACUCAGAAAGCAGCUAGAGGGAACAGAAGAUAAAAGAAGGCUGUCCAACUCAAAAAAAAGGUUUGAAUUUUCAUUCUGUUUUGACAAGUUUUUACGCUAGUCUCUGAUUUUCAGCAUGAUAGAAUAUUCAGCAUCUACAAACCUGACCCAAAGUGAAAAAUACCUGAAGGGGUGCAAGUGAGCCCUUAAGAAGGUGCUAUACGACAUCAUGAAAUAUUUUUUGUUGUUUUAGUCUUAAAUGCUUUUGUAUUGAAGGAGACAGAAAUUGGAAAUGCUGUAAGUGCUGUAGCUCUGGAGCAGGUCGUAUGUGCUUGCAGUCAGCAUGCAGUACCUGGAAUGCAAGGCUAAGAUCUGAGAGGCAAUUUAGGAAUCCCUGCUGCAGAAAAUAUUUUUCAUGAUACAAAGCAAGACAGGAUUACUGAGCUCAAAAUGGUUAUUUGUGAAUAACUUCCAGCUAAAGUGAUUAAGGGCUUCAGCCACUAGCCCCAGAAAAAAAAAACAACUAACAAAGAGCAUCAAAAACAUCCUGCUUGUCAUUGCUGCUGGCUUUUUGUUCAGUGAGCAAGAGGUCUGUGUUGGUUUUGGUCCUUUGCCCUUGGGGACACUUUUAACAAAACAUAAUACUUGAAAGAAUUCCAAAAUGUGUUUGUUUUUUUUUCUUUUCUUUGAACUAUGAGGUGAAAGAUAAAUAAAGGAGUAUUUUGAUAUGUCUAAAAAAAUACUUGUGAUAACAAAUAGACAAAGCACUUCCUAACGUUCAAGACUUACAAGUGCAAUUUACAAACAUGCCACAGUUCUUGAUAACAGAAAUCCCAUCCAGUACUAUUUUUUUUUUAAUGUAAGGUAAAGCACUCUUUUAAGAGAUCAUCUCUCUAAGAAAUGUGAGUAUCUUCAACAGAAUCUUUGGUACUUUUUGGUUUAAGGUUUUGGGGUUUUUAAAAUUCUAAUCUGCUAUAAUAUCUGCCAGAAAAAUCAAGAGCCAAGAAACAUACUGAAGAUAGGAAUGUUGUGAUGAGUGUAAAUUGGUAAGAGGUUCCUCUGGCAAUCUCAGAUUUGCAGAGAGGAAAUUUGGGCUCUUGUACAGAUGAGUUGCUCUUACAGAAUUUUACAGCAUGAGAUGAACAAAGAGACUACCACCAAGUCAUAGGCCACUAACUUAAAUCAUUCAAAGCAUUUCAGAUCCUAACAGGAAGAGAUUUGGAUAUGCACAUAGUAGCAUGUCUAUUUCUGAGUUUAUUUGCAAAAGUAGUCAGAGUUCCUUAACAUUCCCCAUUGCAGGUAUCAUGCCCAAUUAUAUAAAUGUAUGUAAAACUACUGAUAAACCAUCUGAAAGUGAUGACAACAUGAGUAAUGAAGGCUGUCACAAUGGGUGGCUGGAACAUCGUGGACAGACAAAGGUUACAAUUUCCUAUUUCAGGAUCUGCCAUACAAAUUCCAAAAGCCAUGAGGAACCUACAGUGAUGUGCAGGGAGCACUGAUAGCCCUUUCUUAGCCAUAGAGGUCUAACCACAUGCCACAAGUUUGUAGAACUUCAUAAGAUUUAUUAUAUUCAGUUUUUUCCUCUUUUUAUUCUGUUUAAAUGCUUGUUUUGAGGGACAAUACGAUCUCAGCAUUCAUCAUUAAGAAAAAAAGUACACAUUCAUUUUGUACUCAGAGUAUCAGCCUUUUCUUCAGGGUUGCCAAUACCAGUUCUUUAUAGAAUACAGCCCAUAACAAAAACAUCUUCCUCAAAACUACCACUUGUAGCAGCAAAGGACCCCCAGACCAAACAAAAACUAAGUUUUUUGAGUCUAGAAUGAAAACGUCACCUGAUAGCAGCUUUCAGAAGAGAUAUUUGUGGAGGCUGAGUGUCUACUGUUUCAGUAUGUUUUUUAAAGUUCAACAUUUAGCAGAAGAUACAUAUUUAUUCUGCUGCCUUAAUGGGAAUAUUUCAUUCAGCUAAAGCAAACGCUCUGGUAUCUCUGUUAAUAUCAUGGUGAUUUGAACUGUGCAGAGAAGCACCCAGCAGUGUUUAUCCUGGAUGAUGCAAGAGUUGCUAUGGCCAUUACAUGUAUUUAUCAUGGCUUGCUUUCCCCUUUAAAAUGAAGCUGUGCUGUAAGAUUGGAGGUAGUUAGGAAAUACCUUGGAAUUACAUUGCAAUUAAGUGGCUUGUUAAAGCUUCUCACUAAAAAAAAGUGUGUAAAAAGAAUGCCCAUUAAAGAAUACUGGUGGUUAAUAUCAUUAAACUAGCCUUGAGUUCAAAUACCAGAUUUCCAAGGUCAGGUAUUGAGCCCUUUUAUUCUCACAGAGAUUUUAAAUUUGUUUGGUUUCUGUAAGCACACAUUUGUCAAACUGUAGCACUGAAAAACCACUUCCUGUCUGACUUCACAUUGUCAGAAACACAAUCUCUUCAACUACAGCUGUACAAUUUAUACAGUGAAAAAUUUGAAUGAGAAGCACCAAAACUACCUUUUGUCUUUUAAAAAAGAUUUUUAUUUCUGUUUUUAAAUAACUUGACAAAACUCAUCCAUAGGUACUCUGAGUUCAAUUGUAAACAGUUACAAUACAUUACCACUGUGUAUUGAUUUUGUACAUUAACCUAUUUGCAGUGACAGUCCGUAAGACAAGGCAAACUGAAAUGCACUGUACUAAGAUGUACUAACAAUGAAAUACUCCAAAGGCUGAUGUGUAACUCCCUCCUGUGGUGUGAGUGAGCAGCUUCGCAGACGACAGCUUCUGGCAGCUUGGGGAGCGCUCCUGAUAUUCCAAGUCUCUAUUCAGGUUUCAAGUCUACUAUGGAAACUUCUCUCCUAAGUUAAAAGUGUCACACUACAUUUGUAAAAUACAUACAAAGUUGUAAACAUAUUUCUCUGAAACAAAAACUGGUUUGUGCCAGCCUUCUCCACCUCCCACAUUGCAAUUAAAAAAAAAAUAAUAAUUAAAAAAAAUAGGGCCAAAGACUAAGGCCGUAGACUAAAAUUUUUCUGCAGGGAUAAAAUCACAGUUUACAGGAAGUAUUGAGUAUCAGCAUUGAAAAUUAGUCACCAUCAGGUAAUAGAAACCAUUUUCAAGAAAUGGUUUCACUCAACUUCAAGUGAUGAAUCAGGCACUAGAUAUUUGAUUUCCCUCCUUUUAAGAACAGAAGUUUAAAAUACAUUUAGGUACUAUGUUUGAUAAUACCUAAAAUUGACCACAAACAGAUGCUUAAACACUGAUACUUUUGCAAGUUUAGAUUUUGACCACUUUUGCUAUCAGGUUUAUACCAAUCUUCCAUGAAGAAGGAAGGAAUUUGCAAAACAGACUAUAUACAUAUAUAGAGAUCACACAAAUAAAAUGGAUCUUUUCAAGGCAGAUUUUCUUUGUGCAAAGUCCCUCUGGUCAUUUUCUAAAACGUUUUAGGUUUUGUAUUUAUUUCAUCAUUAACAGUGAAGUAACUAUCUUAGUCUGAAUCACGUAUAACUAAUUCCAAACAGACUAAGAUAACUGAGAUUUUGGGAUGCAGUAGAGGAUUAAUAUCCAAGUACAAUAGGAUUUGCUUUUACCAGUGCAGACUGGUAAAGGAUAACAUUAUUCUAGUACUUCUGUAUUUACUGUUCUUGUUUUAACACUGUCAGGAGAUUGAUAUCUGUGACCUUGUAAUUUAAGUAUGACAGUUGAUCAUGAAAUAUCAGUAUUUUCAUAGGCAACAUUUGGUUUAUUUUAAAGUUCUAUCAAGUGUAGCUCUUCCUUGAGAAUUAGAGGCUCUGCAGUCUAAAAAGGGUUCUCCCCCUUUCCCCAGUUACUGGCUGUGCAUCACAGAAACAAGUAGCAGAACACAUUCUGUGCACUAUCAGGGGAAAAAAAAAGUUUUAAAAUAUUCACGUGAAUGUACUCUUUGAUUUUUUGAAAAGUUAUGCUAAGUUCUAACCUUAAUAUAUUUUGUAAGCCCCAAAUUCUAGCUGCAAUUCUCAGCUGUCAGAGAUACAAGAUACUCAGUUUAAAUAUUGGAUUUUAAUUAAAGCAGCUGUUCUGAAGAGAAAAAAAAGAAAUAUGUCACAUUGAGUACAUAUUGCUCUGUCAGCUGUACCACCUGUCAUACAGCCUAAUGAGAGACUAUGGACUCUUACAUCUCUACAGGGUUUCUGUCAAUUUGUUGUGCAUAAUUAAUUGCACAACAAUGUUUCUGAGGUGGAACAAAGUAUCAGCACAAGCUUAUGCUGAGAAAUUCGAGGGAAAUAUAUGCACAACCUGGUCAUAAAAAAGGAGCAACCUGACAAUAAGAUUAUCUAUUAGAAGAGUACAUACAGGCUUGCUUCUUCCAAAAAUUAAAUGUGUAUACCUAUAAGGGGCAAAGGUGGAGAGAAGGAGAAAGGAAGCAAACUUUGGCAAAGUUUAAGAAAGUGCUGUCUUUAUAGUUCUAAUAAUAACUUUAAAAAAAAAAAUAAAUAAACCACCAAACCUCAAACAAUAGCAAAACCAAACCCAACACUGAAAAACCAAAAGGCUAAAAAAUGUCUACAGCUAGAACUGUUCCCUGUGCAGGAUGAUGCAGACACACGAUUGCUGAGAUUGCACUGGCUAAAACCACACAGAGAAGUAACACCACCAUCUCUACUGCAUUUUGCACUGCAACAUCAGAAGGUAAAUAAGCAUUUGCAUAAGCAUCCCAACAUCAUACUGUGGUAAAACACUUUUUAUCUACAUGCAGAGCUCUGUGCACACACAUUUUAAAGUAUAUUUUCUUUUCAAAGCAGUACACCAUAUAGUAAAUUUUCACUUAAGUGUAACUACUAGGAAAUUCUCUAAACAUUGAGUAUUUUCUUAUUUCUUUUCUAAAGGCAGAAAUAAAACUUUGCUAUGUACUGCAGGAAGGAUCUGGACAUUAAACAAUGAAAUUUUAGAUAGCACAAGUUGUUUAGUAGAACCCUGACAUUUUGCUUAGAAAUAACCUCUCCUAGAGAAGGAUGAGAGACAAAAAUACAGAAUAUGAAGGCAACUCCUGGUUGAGUAUAAAGGUUCCUUACCUCUACUAAUAAUGUUAUUUUUCUGUACUAUAAUAAUCAUCUCAGACAACCCUAACAGCACAUUAACUCAGAAAAGUUUUCCACAUUGGACAUUGUGAAGCCAUGAAGCUCCACAAAAACUGGUUCUUGGCCAAGACACCUUCCAUCUUUUGAGAUGAGUUGAUAUCAAAACAUCUGUAGGAAGAGAACAGUGGCCUAAACCAUAUUGUGUUAGAUUUAUCUAUAGUUUCAAAGGAUGGAUGCCAUCCUUCAGGUUCCCUAUUCUCCCUCCAGACAGGAAAAGCCAUUUAAACUUUGUCUCAGUCAGGGCAGGCAGUUCUGUUAGUGCAAGAACAGCACUUUCAUUCCAUGGCCUCCCCAGGCUUAAAGUGCAGUAUAUUACAUGAGAUUUUAACAUACCAAACUAUGCUUUAUUUGAAUUUCAGAAGGAAUGUUCAAGUUAAAAUUACCUUUUAGGUUUUAACCAAUAAAAUUCAAGGCAAGGUACAUAAACUAUCUUAAAAUGGAUUAAAUCCACUUAUUUAAGUAUUCUUUGUAUCUUAUGUUAAAUAUACAUAUACACAACAAACAUCCAUCAUUUCACUUAGCUGUAUUGUAUUUAAAGUGAUUCUGUAAUAAAUGAUGAAAGGCCACGCACUCAAACAAGACGUUGCUUAAAACAGGACAGUAUUAGCUGGACUGUGAUAUGUAACACAAUUCAAUAUUCCAAGAUCUCCUCCUCCAUAGGCUUGUCAUCAAUGAGGAGAAAACCCUUGGCAUUCUUCUGUACACACAUUUAAAUUCUAGUUUUUUGGUGGUGUCUCAUGUUUCGUUUCCCCUCAAUUUGAAAUCACCAUGAAGAAAAGGUGCAUUAAAAAUUGGAUUGAUGUUUUUAUGCCUUUAGCUACUCCUCUUGCCUAUUAACGUGACAAUCUCACUACAAGUUCUUGUAUAGAACUAUGGUUCCCAAAACAUGCAGUUCCCAAAAGACAUACAGCAGAGAAUGUUCCAGGGCAAACCAGUCAGCUGCACAAAUAAGGUCUCAAGUAACAACUGCAAGUACAGCUGUGCCAAUUGAUCCUUUGUACAGGAAGUCCAAGCACCCAAAUUCUGGGUGCAGGACUGUGUUCAGGGAAGGCUCACCAUAGGGGGAGGGUAUGGCUGUACCUAUGGAGCUGCUUAGAGAGAUUAAUGUGGAGUUGCAAAACAUUGUCUUUAGCAAUCAAGCCAGCUUAAACAAGCUCCAACCCCUCCCUGCCUUCAUUGCUCUGCCUUCAGCCCUGUCAAGUGUUUUUUUGGGUCAAGGUAUAGGCGGACAGCAGCUUAACACCCUAACUCCAAGCCACAGACAUUUGGAGAAGUGUCUUUGUUUCUGGUGUUCUGGGAUGUCAGAUCCACAUCACUUCAGGAAUCUUGAACCUCUGCAACACCACGCAUUAACUUGUGUUAACACCACUCACUACAAGGCUGAUAAAUUCCAACAGUAGAGAUGAGGGUGAACAGCUCAACUUAGAGUGAACUGUUAAGAGUAAUCACUUACAACACAUAAUCCAGUAUUAUUUUGGGGCUUUCAGUCACUUCAUGACAGAUAAUUGCACAGUCAAAAGUCUGUAAGUUAAACAAUCAUUUAAACACCAGGGAAAAGUUAUUUUCUAAAUUAAAGUAAGUGGCUUUUCAUCUCUUUUAGCAUCCAAAAAAAGACAAUCAGCCAAUGGGGAUCAUGAAAACACAACAUAUCAUUUAGCAUAAAAA